rnacentral:rRNA from 1 species
AACGAACGCUGGCGGCGUGCCUAAGACAUGCAAGUCGUGCGAGAAAAGGGCUUCGGUCCCAAGUACAGCGGCGCACGGGUGAGUAACGCGUGGGUAACCUACCUCGAAGUUUGGAAUAACUCGGGGAAACCUGAAGCUAAUACCGGAUGAGCCCACGAGGCCCUCGGGUCAUGUGGGAAAAGAUGGCCUCUGCUUGCAAGCUAUCGCUACGAGAUGAGCCCGCGUCCCAUUAGCUAGUUGGUGAGGUAACGGCUCACCAAGGCGACGAUGGGUAGCUGGUCUGAGAGGACGAUCAGCCACACUGGAACUGAGACACGGGUCCAGACUCCUACGGGAGGCUG